UUUUCCUGAUGAGAAAAAUAAUCAGUUCUGCUUCUGAACUACAAUGUUGAUAAACCCAAUACCAAAAAACCUUCUGAAAA
rnacentral:snoRNA from 1 species